AUUGAACGCUGGCGGCAGGCCUCAAACAUGCAAGUCUAGGGGAUGUAGCAAUACAGUCACCGGCGGACGGGUGCGUAACGCGUGGGAAUGUACCUAUUGGUUCGGAACAACACAGGGAAACUUGUGCUAAUACCGAAUGUGCCCGUAAGGGAAAGAUUUAUCGCCAAUAGAUCAGCCCGCGUUCGAUUAGCUAGUUGGUGAGGUAAUGGCCCACCAAGGCAACGAUGGGGUAGCNGGUCUGAGAGGACGAUCAGCCACACUGGGACUGGAGACACGGCCCAGACUCCUACGGGAGGCAGCAGUGGGAAUCUUGCGCAAUGCGCGAAAGCGUGACGCAGC
rnacentral:rRNA from 1 species